GUCUAAAAUCUGCUCAAUGAAUUAAUUUUAAAUAGCUGCAGUAUAAUUAACUGUACAAAGGUAGCAUAAUAAAUUGUCUUUUAAUUAAAGAAUGGAAUGAAAGAAUUAAUGAAAUAUAUACUGUCUCUAUUAUAUAUUAUGAAAUUAAAUUUUUAGUUAAAAUGCUAAAAUUUAAUUAUGGGACGAUAAGACCCUAUAGAAUUUUAUUUUAAAUUAUUAUAAUUGUAGUUUUUAUUAAUAUAAUUAUAAUAAUUUAAAAUUUAAUUGGGAGGAUUAAUAAAUUAAAUAAACUUUAUUUAUAAAAAACUUUGAUUUAAGAAUAAUAAAUUUGAUAUAAUAUUAUUAAUUAUAAGAAUAAAUUACCUUAGGGAUAACAGCGUAAUAUUUUUUAAAAGAUCAUAUUAAUAAAAAUGUUUGCGACCUCGAUGUUGAGUUAAGAUAAAUUUUAAAUGGAGAAAUUUAAAAAUUAAGUCUGUUCGACUUUUAAAAUCUUACAUGAUUUGAGUUC
rnacentral:rRNA from 1 species